AAUCCUCUUGCAACCUAGAACUCAUUGCUCAGUAUGAGUUUUGAUAUAUACAAGAAGGA
ensembl:miRNA Mir7650 microRNA 7650